CGGAAGGCCGCGCCUGCGCAGGAGGUGAAGUGAGCCAAUGACGCAGCAUUGUGACGUCACAGUAGUUAACGCUACUGUUGACCUUGUGACGCCACAAGCCUGCGUCAGGAAGAUCAUUUACGUCUGACUGGGGUUGACCUCGAGUAACAAACUGCGGAAAGCGAUGCUGUGGAUAAGUAGGCUGCAUGCUUCACAUGGGGCUCAAACUCGCUACCCUGGAUCAAGAAUCACAGCCUCUACUGACUGAGCUAGCCAGGCACCCCCAGAUCUGUUUCAUAUUAGGUGGUCAUAGAAGGUUGGAAAAAGCAGAAUCAUGACCUGAAGACAGGAGAGGACAAGCCUGCAGGGGAAUUACACCUUGAAAUACUGAAAUGUGGUGGAAAUGCAGGACAAAGGACUCCAAUGAGCAUCCCAGAUAAGGAAUUUUAGUAUUUAUGUGUCCAUAGCAGGUCACGACACUGUGGCUUCAUGCAUCCUCUAGGCCCACCCAGCCAUCAGAUGGCUGCAACCCUGGCCAGCACCUUGAUGACCACCUCCUGAGAACUCUUGAGCCAGAACUGCCAAGUAGCUAAGCCACUACUUGAUGCUUGACCCUCAGAAACUGUUGGUGAUUUAUGUCUCUUCGUGGAUUUUAAAAUGAGAGUUUCAGUUUUUUCCUUUAAUUUCCAUCAAGAACCCAGUACGACAGUAUAAAGGUACAAAUAGGAACCACCAGAAAACCUCAAAAUGCAUGACUCAAGGAUUUUGCAAGAAUAACAAAGGGUCAAUAUUGAGACAAAAACUAACUCCUAAAGAUGCAGUUUAACAUUUCUCCUGGUACCCUCUUGGAUCAUCAAAGCAGCUGUGGCAGAUCAUAUAUUCCAAAAUGCCAGAACAAUAUUUCCUAUCUACAUGCUCUUCCUACAAUAUGAAUUUGACAUUCCUUCCAUUGAGUGGUUGGUUCUAUAAUGUACAUCACUUUGAGCCUGGAAGAAUAGAGACUGUGUAAGUUCAAGUGAAGAUAUGUGAGUUUGGAAGUUAGAUCGUAAAAGAUGCUAUAGUUCCUUCCUGAUUCUCUUUCGAUGCUUCCUGUUGGAACUUAGCUACUCUCUUGCAAGGGAGUCAAAACUAGUCCACAUGGAGAGAUCACUUGUGGGUUUUCCAGCCAACAGUCCAAUGGAGCAGCUCCUAGUCAACAACCAGCACCAACUGCCAAAUAUGUAAGUGGAGAUGCCUCCAGAAAAUUCUAGCUCUAAGUCAACCCCCCAACCCCCGCCACUAAUCUUCGAGUGUUCCCAGAUGAGGCUGUAACCAUCCUGGAACAGAAGCAAAAAAAUCUACUUUGCCAUAUUUGAAUUCCUGACCUAUAGUAUU